CUUUACUGUAGCCUGGUAUUGGGUUCGGGCUUUGACUGCGCAGGAUAGGUGGGAGACUGAGAAGUGUGCCUUGUGGGGCACAUAGAGUCAACGGUGAGAUACCACUCUGUCAGAGCUAGAAUUCUAACUGAAAGCCGUUAUCCGGCUUUGGGACAGUUUCAGGCGGGCAGUUUGACUGGGGCGGUCGCCUCCUAAAUGGUAACGGAGGCGCGCAAAGGUUCUCUCAGGCUGGUUGGAAAUCAGCCGUAGAGUGUAAAGGCAUAAGAACGCUUGACUGUGAGAGUGACAACUCAAGCAGGGUGGAAACACGGCCUUAGUGAUCCGACGGUAUGCGCGUGGAAGUGGCGUCGCUCAACGGAUAAAAGUUA
rnacentral:rRNA from 1 species